UGCAGUGUGGAGGGAACCAGAUUUUAUAUUGAAGUUAUCAAGACAACAACAUGACGAUCAAACAGCUUCAGCUCUUGGUAUUAAUCUGUUGUCAGUAUGCAGUGGCAGAUCUACUAACUGAUCUGGGAUCAAAUGUGAGCAUAAACUGUGAUCUUGAUGAAAAUGAGGUUUAUUGGAUUUUACUGAAAACAGCAGAUCCUCCGACAGUCAUUCUACGAUCAUUCCCAACACAAACGAAAUCCCCCUUUUACCAUAAUAAAACAUUCAGAAAGAAAUAUUCAGUGCAGUUUAAACAUCGUCUGGUUAUUAAUAAUGUGACUGCUGAUGAAUUAGGAGUUUAUUACUGUAUGAACACAGAAACACCUCCAAAACUCAGCAACAGCACCAGAAUAUACUUCAAUGAAGCAGUUGAACUAACUGAGUGUCACAAUCAAACACAAUGGCAGAUUAUUAUUAUCUUCAUAUCUGGACUGAUGAACGGGUU